ACCAGUGGAUGACAGGGGAGACACCAUGAUUAAGAUGAUGGUUUUCCCAGGCUGAGACUCACUCCUUGCACACUGGGUUUACUGAACCUUGUUCUUUCCUCCAGUGCAGGAGACCCCACUGCAUAAUUUGUAGUAGUGGGGGACUGCGUUUGUGCUGUCUCCUG
ensembl:snRNA U1 U1 spliceosomal RNA